ensembl:lincRNA
GUACUCCCUGUCCUGGUUCUCCAGGAAUGGGAACAGGGACCACCGGCUCUGAGGCUGUGUACAUAGCUCACACCAAACCCACAGAGACUGCUUGCUGCUGCUGUCACUCAGCUCCUAGCUUCAGUCAAGAUAUGCCUGGUUGUAACAAGUCAAGCCUGAACCACGUAGCAGGACCCUGUCUCAACCCCUGCCCUCCCCCCCCCCCCCAGAGCUGUACAGUUUGUGAGUCACUCAGCGCAGUGCUCCUCGUUUUGCUAUCGCUGGACAUGCAUUUCCUGGCCCAGAAGCCAUUCCUUGCAGAUGCCAGGGACCUCAGUUUGUCAGCACAGAGCUAGGCCCUGUGUAAGAGUUUUCCAGCCAGAUUUCCUGUGGGCUUUUACUCCAUAGAUGGUGCCAUACAGACCUUUGAUAGGUGGUUUGGAAUCCUGCAAGUCCAGCUGGACCCUCCCCGGGACCCUGGACACAACCUCCCGCAGGUGUCCUCUGUGGCUAGGCCCCUGGAGGGGGGCUCCCUGCUGUCCAUACUCCCUGUCCUGGUUCUCCAACCCCUGCUGUGACAGGAUGGCAGACCUCAGACAGCACAGCCAGCUGCCCACACUGCCUGCUGUGAAGGGCCCAGAUCGCCCUCCCAACUGCCUUUGUAGGUCUGGCUGCCUGUGCGCCUGUCCCUUGGAGCGAGGCUGGGAGGCUAGGGGCUGGAUCGAAGAGCCUCUGGUUUCCCAUUCGGUGGGAAUUUUGGUUGCAGGUCCCUUUCUUCAGACUUGAGACAGUUGGAGUCUCUGACCAGGUAGGACAGGAGAGGGUACGCUUUGGAGCUGAGGCCUCAUUGGUGCCGCUGAUCUCAGAGACCAUCUGGACUCUUAGGACUCUAGGAAACCACCUCUGCCCACAAGGAGAUAACACUAAGGAAUGCAUCAGAAUGGAAUUACAGACACAACUGCACUAGCAGCUACCGCAGCCUUUCAGGGCACCCUGGGAGCUCGGUGUUACCCACUGCAGAUCCACCUGCACCACAGGGACAGUGUGGCUCAGUGCUUCCUGUCCACAGUGUGCUGCUGGGUGGACACCACCUGGAUGAAUGAGAGUCCGGUCCCUGUCCUGUCCUACCUUGAUGGGCCUGUUUUCCCCCAUGGUUUAGCCCUAGCACUAGGAAUAGCACACCACGCUCAAUAAACCCUCAUGCACUGAACCCUUGUUCUGUCGUAUGUGUCUGGGGGAGCUGGAAGAUCGGGACGUGCCACAUGGUGUGCUCUGCUGUCCUACGUGAGCUCAGAUGGCCCCAGAACCUCUCAGGGUUCCAUUUUCUCCCCUAUAGAUGCCAAAAUAAAUCAACUCUCAGAUCCUUAUGGGAGAGGAUUUCUUGGUUUUUGCUUCUUUCUCUGCUAGUUUUCAGAUAGAAAAAACUACAUUUCCCAGGCCAUGUAAUGCACACUAGCUGAUGUGAUCCUGGACAAAGUUAAAUUGCCAUUCUGGGGGCUGAAGAUGUAGCCCAGGGGUAAAGAAUUUCCCUAGCAUGCAUGAGGCCCCGGUUUCCAUCUCCAACAUUGGAAUAAAUAUAAGCAAACAGCAAAAGUAACUAACAGCUGUGUGGAGUUUGGGAAGAGUGUAGAAUGCCGGGGCCCAAGUACUAAGCCUCUGCCUGCUUGCUUCCUCCUGGACAGCAUGGAGACUCCUGAUACAGCUUUCCGCUGUGCCCUUCUCCGGGGAAUCACUGUCCAGAAAUGCCUUGUAGGGUCCACUCUGCUGCCAAGGUGACUGCAGCCCAGGACUGACUGAGGCGGGCAGGGGUAUAAGGGCCUCGCCUGCCUCCCUCGGGGUGUGUUAUAGCUUGUGUCUAGAUGUCACCCAAACCCUCAUGCAGUCAUAGGUGGGGCUUUGUCAGAGGUGGCUGAAUCUAGAGUGUAGGACUGAUUGAUGGUGCAAUGCUAGGAUUAAGGGUGGGUGAUUGCUAGAUCAGUCCACUGAUUGUUUUAGCACCGCCUUAAUCCCAGUAGCCUGGAUACAAUAUAAGGGCAAAAAGAGGCUUGUCUUGUCCUUUGCUUGCUUUGCUAUCUUAUGCUUGCCGUGAACUUUUCUCUGCAAUUCCCCUCUGUCAUGCUAUCCUGCUUUGGAGCCAGCCAGUUAUGAACUGAAACCUCUACAAACUGUGAGCUAAAUAAACCUUUCCUCCU